AGGAUGCUCUGAGGACAGCAACUUUUCUGAAACCCAUCAUGACAAAGACUCUGCAAGUGGUGGAGAUGCUCCAGCUUCUGGAGCAGAUAUGGAAGAGCCCAAGUAUGCAGACGGCCGUCGGCAUAUACCAACAAGUCCUCUCCCGGCACCUGCAGAAAACGCAAUAGAGACACACCCUGAACAGGCAGAAGAAAUGUGAGUGUGCAGUGGCAGCAUGACCAGGGGAAGGCAGACAACGCCUGCGUGCCUGUGGCUGCCCUCACUCUCUUGUGCCAUCAGAAAACCUAGUGAGCUCGAGGAGGAUAAGGAUGCUGAAGAGACUGACCCGACCUGUUGUGGCCUGACCUGUUGUGGCCUUUGUAUUUGAUGGUG